rnacentral:rRNA from 1 species
GACGAACGCUGGCGGCGUGCCUAAUACAUGCAAGUAGAACGCACAGUUUAUACCGUAGCUUGCUACACCAUAGACUGUGAGUUGCGAACGGGUGAGUAACGCGUAGGUAACCUGCCUGGUAGCGGGGGAUAACUAUUGGAAACGAUAGCUAAUACCGCAUAAUAUUAAUUAUUGCAUGAUAAUUAAUUGAAAGGUGCAAUUGCACCACUACCAGGUGGACCUGCGUUGUAUUAGCUAGUAGGUGAGGUAACGGCUCACCUAGGCGACGAUACAUAGCCGACCUGAGAGGGUGAUCGGCCACACUGGGACUGAGACACGGCCCAGACUCCUACGGGAGGCAGCAGUAGGGAAUCUUCGGCAAUGGACGAAAGUCUGACCGAGCAACGCCGCGUGAGUGAAGAAGGUUUUCGGAUCGUAAAGCUCUGUUGUAAGAGAAGAACGGGUGUGAGAGUGGAAAGUUCACACUGUGACGGUAUCUUACCAGAAAGGGACGGCUAACUACGUG